rnacentral:rRNA from 1 species
CGUAAAGAACCUGCCUCAUAGACUGGGACAACUAUUGGAAACGAUAGCUAAUACCGGAUAACAGCAUUAACUGCAUGGUUGAUGUUUAAAAGUUGGUUUUGCUAACACUAUAAGAUGGCUUUGCGGUGCAUUAGCUAGUUGGUGGGGUAAAGGCCUACCAAGGCGACGAUGCAUAGCCGACCUGAGAGGGUGAUCGGCCACACUGGGACUGAGACACGGCCCAG